GUCUUUUUGUAUUAAAUUAAAAGUCUAAUCUGCCCACUGAAAUUUUUAAAUGGCCGCAGUAUUUUAACUGUGCAAAGGUAGCAUAAUCAUUAGUCUUUUAAUUAAGGGCUUGUAUGAAUGAUUGGACGAGAUAUAAACUGUCUCAUAAAAAAUAGUUUGAAUUUUAUUUUUUAGUCAAAAAGCUAAAAUAUAUUUAAAAGACGAGAAGACCCUAUAGAUCUUGAUAAAAAUUAUAAUUAUUUUUUGUAGUUAUUUUUUGAAUUAUUAUAUUUUUUUUAUUUUAUUGGGGUGAUAUUAAAAUUUACAUAACUUUUAAUAAUUAAAAACCAUUAAUUUAUGAUUAAUUGAUCCUUUAUUAUUGAUUAAAAAUUUAAGUUACCUUAGGGAUAACAGCGUAAUUAUUUUGGAGAGUUCUUAUCAAUAAAAUAGAUUGCGACCUCGAUGUUGGAUUAAGAUUAAUUUUAGGUGUAGAAGCUUAAAAAAUUAAGUCUGUUCGACUUUUAAUUUCUU
rnacentral:rRNA from 1 species